CGAGGAGGAGCGCGGGCAGCGAGGGAUUGAACCGCGAGGGACCUUUCUGCGCCUGCGCGCACUUCUGCUAAGCACAGAGUGGGACUGCCUGGUGGUUUUCCUCUUAUAAUUUCCUAGCAUUUUCUUUACUCUAGAUUACUGUAUUGCAAGGAGACAGUACAGGAUACACAGAACCUACCACAUACGGGAGCAUUAUUUAUGCCAUCAGCGAGGCUUCUCGUCAAUCGCCCGCUCUUACUGAUUUUCUUAAAAGAUUUUAUGUAUUUGACAGAGAGAGCAAGCAAGCACAAGCAGGCAGAGCAGCAGAGGGAGAGGCAAAAGCCAGGCCCCGUGCGGGCUCAAGCCCAGCUCCCUGGGAUCAUGACCGGAGCUGAAGGCAGUCACUUAACCAACUGAGCCACCAAGGCGCCCCAACAGCCUGCUCUUAGUAGUGGGAUGGAAAUCGGUGGCGCGUACAUGAACCUGGAGUCUCAGGCCGGAGUCCGUGAGGAGUCUCCAUGGCACUCACUUCCUGUGACCUGCCGUGGAAACCAAGCCGAGAUGUGCUGUAGCUCUACCAUUAAAAGUGAUGACUGAUUGCUAUCAUUAAAAGCCACAUGUGGGGCACCUGGGGUGGCUCAGUCUGUUAAGCGUCUGCCUUCAUCUCUGGUCCUGAUCCCAGGCUCCUGGGAUUGAGUCCCUGCGUCGGGCUCCCUGCUCAGCAGAGAGUUUGCUUCUCCCUCUCCCUCUGCCCCUCCCCUUGCUUGCGUGCUAUCUCUCUCUCAAAUAAAUACAUUCUU